AUUCUCCUGAUUCUACUAAUCACACCCUGCUUCAUCAAUUUCUUCUCUAUGUAUUUCCAAUGACACAUUCAAAUUUCUCUAGUCAAACAACUAAUUAGCUGUUGUUACAGGACUGCCAAGCAUUAGCCACAGAGCUGGAGGCAUAAAGACCACCAAACAUGUCAGCUCCAGGGAGUCAACUUGGAUUCACCUCGAACAGCCUCUUGCCAGGUCCAAGCUGUACCAGAUGAUUCCACAGAACCUAGACAGCAGUGAAACAACCAGCUACCUCAGGACGUGGCCAGCUCCCCCAGCUUUCUCGGGUCUCCCAAAGACGACCAACACCGCCCAGCCUGACUUGGUGACCCAGGAGCUGCAGGUGCUCUCGUAUAUCACCCCCGCACCCCCCCACACACACAUGGACUUGAGUCAUAUAUAUAGUCUUCCUUCUGAGAAUACUCAACUCGCAUCUACAUGGAUCGCAACUUCAGUCUCAGAAGCCAUCCACUGUGGAAUCUGAGAGUCAAGGUUAAUGGAUGGGCCACUCUCACUACUCCUUGGCAGAUUUUAUCCUUUCAUGGAACACAUAAAUGCCAAGCAGUGAGGCUAUUUUUCAAUAAAACGUAUCCAACUUUA